CCUGAUGUCUCAGUUGGUAAAGAAUCUGCCUGCAAUCCAGGAGACCCUGGUUUGAUUCCUGGAUCAGGA
rnacentral:tRNA from 1 species